UCAGUUUUGGUCAUUUUGAGCUUACUUCAUCAGUUGGAGAUGAACAAGGAGAUAUCAAAAAAAAAAACAGGCUGAGAUUUUAGAUUAGAUGGAACAAACAGGUCAAGAAGGAAAAGUAGAUCUGACUUAACAUCAUAAAGACAAUAGUUAAAGUCAUGUUUAGAAUGAGAUCAUCAAGAGAUAAGGCACACAGGGAAAAGAGGAGGAGGCCAAGACCGGAAACCUAUGGAAUCCCCCACAGAAAGUUGAAGUGAGGAAGAGGAGGAGUGUUUGAAUAAUAAUGCCGUCAAAAGGAUUAGAGAGGUCCAGGGGAAAACAAGAAUGAACAGAAUCACAAAAGCUGAGGAAGAACUCGAAGCGUGUGUGGUUACCUCACCAGUGCAGAUCAGUUAGCUAAGCAUUAUAUCGGGAAUACCUAGAAUAAUGUAUUCAGAUCAUAGAAAAAUUGACCCACAUUCCAUUGGAGUUAAUUACAUUUAAUGACAUGCAACUCAUUAUAGAUGGGGUUUCAGAGGAAACCCUAAAUAUGAGCAUAACUGUGCUGCAUAAGUAAUCAUAGAAUUAUAGAACCUUAGGGACUUAGAAGGGACUGCAAAGGUAUGUAGUCUAACCCCCUGCAAAAAUCAGAUCAUUUUCUCUUGUGGUCAUUUUCAGAAAACCAGGGUUUUGUCCUUUCAUCCUGGUGUUGUACAGCAUGCUGAUUUGGCUGUAUCCCAAAGAUGACUGCAUCUCAAUUAUGUGUUAUGCAGCUGAAACAGUAAAGCCACAACAGCAGACAUCAGUGUUUCUAUCAGCUCCCUCUGCAUCUGUUUAUCUUCUUCUCUGCUGGUUCCAGAAACAUAACAUAUAGCUAUGAGGAAUUUAUAUCCCUGGCGUGUCCAGUUCUGCUUCUGCCUGACCAAGAAGAAGAAAAAGUGUCCAGGAGACAUGAAGUCCAACAGAACAAAGAAAUGACUCGUUUUGUGAACAAUGUUGUGACAGAUCCAAAGGCAUGCAGACUGCUGAGUGACCUACUUUCUCCAACUGUGCCUGGAACUGCUACAUAUGCCACAAUUACUGCAGAAAUGCAGGCAUGUUUUUCUCCUACCCUACAGAUGAUAUUUGUUCCAUCAGUUAUAUCAGGAAACUGGAGGAUCAGUAGCACAGUUUUUUGCUGCCUUAAAGAAGUUGUCAGAACAUUGUCAGUUUGGACAAACAUUAAUUGAUGCCAUGCAUAACCAGUUAGUCUCUGGAUUAUAUAAUGAUGAGGUCUGGAAGAAGUUACUGACAGUAUUAGUGCUUACAUUCAAGAAGGCUACUGAAGUAGCAGUUGCAAUGGAGACAGCAGAGAAAGACUCUGGAAUUUAAUGUGAAGCGACAAGUUCACCUCCUGCAUCAGCAAGACAGAGAACCACAGGAAUGUAAGGAAUUUCUUUGUGGCCAUUUUGCACAAACUGCACACUCUGAGAAGGAUUGCUGAGCACAUCAGGUUAUUUAAUGAAAGUGCCAGAAGAAAGCACACAUUGUCAUGACUGCACAGUUCAGUUAUCAGCAGCACAGAAUAACUAUACAUCCAAGAAUACAUGUAUGAAGACUGAAAUUAAGAAGGGAUUCAAGUUAGGAAUUUAUGAUGUAGAAAAAAGACCCGCGCUCUAGUGACACUGACCAAGACCUAGCACUAUACAUGUUAGCAGAAGCUGGAGUCAGAGAUGGAAUUUGGAUUACACUGUUGAUCAAAAGAGUUCCUACAAGAAUGGAUCUUGAUACAAGACCAGCUGUUUCAAUGAUUUCUGCAUCUACCGGACGUUGCCACAAGUUCCCCUGGAAAAAUUAUCCAUGACAUUGAAGAUUUAUACCAGAGAAAAAUUAGUCCCAAAAGGACUAUUCCAGGUGAAAGUGCAGCUAGAUGGACAAUAAGUGAUUUUGCUCUUGUAUGUGAUUGAAGAAAAAAAUUCUCUAUUAUCUGGCAGAUCUUGGCUUGAAAAGCUCAAGGUGAAUUAGACUGAGAUGAAGGUGAUCAUGACAGUCUGACAGUCAGCCAAAAUAUUGCAAGCCCAGAGUUGUGCCUUACACUCUGAAGCCUCUACUGGAAGCUGAUUUGGACUGUUUAGUGAACAUUGGAGUCUUGUCACCAGUUUCAUGCAGCGAGUGAGCUACACCCAUCAUAGAAGGAUGGCUGACUCUGAAUCUGUGGAGAUUUCAGAGUAACACUGAAUUCAGUUUUAUGUGCAGACCAGUAUUCACUACCAUGUACUGAAGAUUUGCUUGCUACUCCUAGUGGUAGACAGUGUUUUAGUAAAUUGGAUUUGCUCAGUGCAUAUCUACAAAUGGAGCACGUUGCAAAUAUCUCACAAUCAACACUCAAAAAGGCUUAUUUUAUUGCAACAGCUUGCAUUUUUGGUAUCACGUUGGCACCUGCUCUGUUCCAGAAAGACACAAUGAGAUUCUGAAGGGACUGCAUGGAAUUCAGUUCUAUUUGGAUGACACACUUGUUACAGGAAAGGAUCAAAAGGAUUAUCUUAGAAAUUUGCUGCCUUGCAACUUUUGGAAGACCACGGUCUGAGAGUACCUUGAGACAAAUGUUAAUUUUUCAAACUAUCAGUUAAAUAUCUUGGACAUGUAGUUGAUGCCACAAGUUUAAAGAAAUCACCAGAGAAAGAGAAGGUGGUUCUUCAAACACUACCACCAGAAAUAUCACCAUUACAUGAAUUCUUAGCACUGCUUAAUUACGAUGGUAAAUUUCUGCCUAAUCUGGUGACAGUACUGGCACCUUUUUACAUGAACUGUUUCAAGCAAAGAAAAAAAUGGAAAUGGACUAAAGAAUGUGAGGGUGCAUUUAAGGAAGCAAAAACUGUUGACAUUAGCUGAAGUUCUUAUGCAUUUUGAUGCUUUGCUACCACUGCAAUUGGCUUGUGAUGCUUCACCAUAUGGAGUAGGUACAGUUCUUUCCUAUGUUUUCUUAAUGGUAUGGAGAAACCAUCACGAACACUUUCUAUUCCUAAAAAGAACUAUGCAAAUGACUGAGAGGCUCAUCACAUUAUCUUUGGAAUCCGAAAGUUCCAAACUUCUCUCUACAUUAGAAAUUUUACUUUCCUGAUUGAUCAUCACCCAUUACUUUCAAUUUUUGGAUUGAAACA